rnacentral:rRNA from 1 species
AUUGAACGCUGGCGGUAGGCCUAACACAUGCAAGUCGAACGCGAAAGUCCUUCGGGAUGAGUAGAGUGGCGGACGGGUGAGUAACGCGUAGGAAUCUAUCCUGUAGUGGGGAUAACGUUUCGAAAGGAACGCUAAUACCGCAUACGCCCACGGGGAAAGCGGGGGAUCUUCGGACCUCGUGCUAUAGGAGGAGCCUGCGUCGGAUUAGCUAGUUGGUGAGGUAAAGGCUCACCAAGGCGACGAUCCGUAGCUGGUCUGAGAGGAUGAUCAGCCACACCGGAACUGAGACACGGUCCGGACUCCUACGGGAGGUAGCAGUGGGGAAUAUUGCGCAAUGGGCGAAAGCCUGACGCAGCCAUACCGCGUGUGUGAAGAAGGCCUCGGUUGUAAGC